rnacentral:lncRNA from 1 species
AUUUUUUUUAAAAUACUAUUUUAAAUUUUAUACUUUUACAUAUAACUUGGUAUGUUCCUAAUUGGUACAUGUUCUAUACAAUCAUAGAUGAAUAACUGUACAAAUUUUUUUGAUCUAAAUUUGUUCAAUGCAAAACUGAAAUGAAUAAAUUGUCAAAUAAAAUGUGUACAACAUGCGGUAAAAUGAACAAUUUUCCAAAAUCUAAGUGUAGCUUACAAUUAUCAGUCUUCAGAUACUAAAACACUUCACAAGUAAAAAAAUCUGUACCAUAUAUAUGUUUUCCAUAUGCUACAAAGUAAGAAGAGAUCAUCGAAUUUCACAAAAUAGAUGCCUCACUUUAAUAAUUGAUGACAGCAUGAUAUGACCAGAACAUGUCGACAUGGUUACAUUAGACAAAUGUAUACAAAUAUUUACUUUGGUGAAGGUAUCAAAUAUUAAACAACCAUAAUGGUACACAAUCAGAAUUGUUUAUGCCAUUUUCUUACAUUUUCAAUUUUAAUCUUGCUGGAAUAUAAAUGAUCAACAGAAGUUGCCUCCCUUAUGAUUUAGUUUGUGUAUAAUUUCUAAAUUGAAUUUCAUUACCAUUAAUUUGCAUGUACUUUAAAUAGAGAUGGCCUAUAAAAUACAUUAUUACACAACCAAACUGACACAACAUAAUAUUGCCUUGUUUGUUUUUUACUUGAAUUUCAUUGAGUUUUUUAAAUUUAGUUUGAAUAUUUUCACAUUUUAUUCAUAUGAUAUUUUCAUUCUUGUUUUUGUAUCAAUCUUGAUAGAAAUUGUUGAAAAGAUUUACAUAUAAUUAUUUGUUAAACUGGAUUUGGUGCCAUGUAGUGUAUAAUUAUAAAAAAAUCAAAAUCAAAAGACUAACUGCAUUUCUUCAAGAGAUCACUUUCCAUUUUUUUGUGAACAACAAUUUAAAGCUAAUGCCAGCAAACUGAUAAUAUUGAACCAAUAAAAUGAUUACAAACUACAACUUACAAUUGACACAACAACAAAAAUGAUUGUCAAGGCAAUAUAUAAUACAAGGAUUUCUAUAUAUAUUUGUCAAAGUAUUUUAUAUAUAUUUGUUCUACCACAUGAUUUAAUUUUUACAGAAAAGUAAUUCAAUGUAAAACGUAAAAUUGUUACAAACUAAUUACAGACAAUUGUUACAUUAAUAUUACUUGUGGAAACACAAGUUCCUUAUCAACCACAGAAAAAAGUUGUUGGUGUAAAAAAAAUGCCACUGUGUGUGCCUCUGAUUUCUUAAUCUGGUUUGCAGUAUCAUAAUAGUAUCUAAGUAUGAUGUCACUACCUUUGAUAUUAUCACCAAGUACUCUAGAUCUGCCAAACACAAUAUAUCAAGAAAAGAACAAAACCUUGAAAAAGACACUGCCUUUACAUAAUAUAUUGAACAUGAACAAGUUGAGUGAUACAAAAAUAUAAAUUCUACCAAAAUUGUACACACAAGAGUAUGUAAAAGUAAGUUAAAAUGGCAUUAAACUUAAAUCUUUAGGUAUAUAGAAAGUGUUAAAGUGUGUCUGUGUCCAUAUUUCUAUAUCAAAUUCGCCAGACAUUACACAUGUAGGCAUAUAAAAGAUGAAUGUAUGGUGAAGUUCGAUUAACUUAUCAUUGAUAAAAAAUACAGUGAUAUCUUUAUGUGCACUAAAACCAUUAUCCUUAAAAAAGCAAAAUGCUAAUUACUGUUACAGGGAAACUUGCUUUACUCAACCCUGAAUCAACCAUAGAUAUCUCAAGUGUUGUACUCUGGAGGAUGAAAUGAUUCUUAAAAGAGCAAAAUGCUAAUUACUAUUACAGUGAAAUCUGCUUAACUCAACCCUGCGUAAACCAUAACCUUUCUAAACUAAACUCAGGUAUAAUGAUAAGAAUACUCAAUGCAUGAAUGUUCUUUAAAAAAAAUUAUAAUGUACAAGGACCAAACUGAAUCCUGUCUGCUAAAAUCCAUUUUUUUUUAUUCUUGAAGGAAUUGUCUUUAGAAGGAUUUAUUAAAACUGUAAUAUAUACAAGUGACAAACUUCUAUCAGUUCUUUCUUCAAUCUUAACAAAUUUUAAACAAAUUACAAUAAAAACCACUGAAUAAAAUCUAUAUAAUUAACAAUAAUGACAUAAAUGUCCUAUAUUUUGACCUGUUAACAUGGCACACAUUUUUAUGACCAAGUCUUGGGGACAGGUCCUUUGGUACAACAGACGAAACAGUGAAUUCUUACAUUUUUGUGUUUGUUUAUGUUCUUGUAAACAUCAGAUAAAAUUGAGAAUGGAAAUCAGAAAAUGUCUCAUCAUAAAAAACAAUGAAAUUUAUGAUUUUUAGAAAAUAAAGAAUGAUGAAUUUACUGGCCAAUAAUUAACAUGAAAUAUGAAAAGAAGUACUGCAAUGUAUUACCUUAAUAUUCAGAAGUUAUUUAAAUUAAAUCUUUGGAUUUAGUUAAUAUCUGUGUCUUUAAAACUUUAAGUUUUAAUAAAUGUUAAG